rnacentral:misc_RNA from 1 species
GAUGAAGAACGCAGCGAAAUGCGAUAAGUAAUGUGAAUUGCAGAAUUCCGUGAAUCAUCGAAUCUUUGAACGCACAUUGCGCCCCCUGGUAUUCCGGGGGGCAUGCCUGUCCGAGCGUCAUUGCAACCCUCAAGCGCGGCUUGCGUGUUGGGCGCCGUCCCCCGUGGACGCGCCCGAAAGGCAGUGGCGGUACCGUGCUCCGGUGCCCGAGCGUAUGGGCUUAAAACCCGCUCUUGUGGCCCGGCCGGCGCCGGCCUCGACCCCCAACUUUACAAGGUUGACCUCGGAUCAGGUAGGGAUACCCGCUGAACUUAAGCAUAUCAAUAAGCGGAGGA